rnacentral:rRNA from 1 species
AGAGCGAACGCUGGCGGCAGGCCUAACACAUGCAAGUCGAACGGAUCCUUCGGGAUUAGUGGCGGACGGGUGAGUAACACGUGGGAACGUGCCCUUUGGUUCGGAACAACUCAGGGAAACUUGAGCUAAUACCGGAUAAGCCUUUCGAGGGAAAGAUUUAUCGCCCAGGGAUGAGCCCGCGUAGGAUUAGCUAGUUGGUGAGGUAAAGGCUCACCAAGGCGACGAUCCUUAGCUGGUCUGAGAGGAUGAUCAGCCACACUGGGACUGAGACACGGCCCAGACUCCUACGGGAGGCAGCAGUAGGGAAUAUUGGACAAUGGGCGCAAGCCUGAUCCAGCAAUGCCGCGUGAGUGAUGAAGGCCUUAGGGUGUAAAGCUCUUUUACCCGAGAUGAUAAUGACAGUAUCGGAGAAUAAGCCCGGCUAACUCCGUGCCAGCAGCCGC